UGGGGAAUAUUGGACAAUGGGCGCAAGCCUGAUCCAGCCAUGCCGCGUGAGUGAUGAAGGCCCUAGGGUUGUAAAGCUCUUUUGUGCGGGAAGAUAAUGACGGUACCGCAAGAAUAAGCCCCGGCUAACUUCGUGCCAGCAGCCGCGGUAAUACGAAGGGGGCUAGCGUUGCUCGGAAUUACUGGGCGUAAAGGGUGCGUAGGCGGGUCUUUAAGUCAGGGGUGAAAUCCUGGAGCUCAACUCCAGAACUGCCUUUGAUACUGAGGAUCUUGAGUUCGGGAGAGGUGAGUGGAACUGCGAGUGUAGAGGUGAAAUUCGUAGAUAUUCGCAAGAACACCAGUGGCGAAGGCGGCUCACUGGCCCGAUACUGACGCUGAGGCACGAAAGCGUGGGGAGCAAACAG
rnacentral:rRNA from 1 species